AUUGUCAGCCAUGUUUCAUUGACUCUGCAAAUUCGUCGAUGCGUUUGGACUCGUUUGUUGCGUGUUUGUCGACAUCUCAUGGUUGCUGAAAAUCAUUAUGGUCCUUAUAUCUUAUGAAAGCGUCAAAUUGAAUUAUUUCAGGUUAUCAAUUGGGGAUCCACGCUCUAAAUAGGUGAUAUUGGGUGGGAGUAAUUUUUCGUAUUUUUUUGAGUUAUGAACAAUUUAGAUUUUUGUAAAUUUGAUUGAUCAAUUGUGUUAUUUUUAUCGGUUAUUCAGAGGUAGAAAUUAAUUGUCUCUAUGUCUAGAACUUGCUUUUAUAUCAGAAGUAUUUAUUUAAUGAACAUCAACUAUAUUCGAUAUUAAGAAUUUUUUUUUU